GAAGUAGCAAUACUUAGUGGCAGACGGGUGAGUAACAUGUAGGUAUCUGCCCUUUGGCCUGGAAUAACACGAGGAAACUUGUGCUAAUACUGGAUAAGUCUUUACGGAGAAAGCUUUAUGCACCAUUGGAUGAGCCUGCACUUGAUUAGUUUGUUGGUGGGGUAAUGGCCUACCAAGACUGUGAUCAAUAGCUGAUUUGAGAGGAUGAUCAGCCACAUUGGGACUGAGACACGGCCCAAACUCCUACGGGAGGCAGCAGUGGGGAAUCUUGCACAAUGGAGGAAACUCUGAUGCAGCGAUGCCGCGUGAGUGAAGAAGGCCCUUGGGUUGUAAAGCUCCUUCGUCGGGGAAGAAAAUGACUGUACCCGAAUAAGAAGGUCCGGCUAACUUCGUGCCAGCAGCCGCGGUAAUACGAAGGGACCUAGCGUAGUUCGGAAUUACUGGGCUUAAAGAGUUCGUAGGUGGUUGAAAAAGUUGGUGGUGAAAUCCCAGAGCUUAACUCUGGAACUGCCAUCAAAACUUUUCAGCUAGAGUAUGAUAGAGGAAAGCAGAAUUUCUAGUGUAGAGGUGAAAUUCGUAGAUAUUAGAAAGAAUACCAAUUGCGAAGGCAGCUUUCUGGAUCAUUACUGACACUGAGGAACGAAAGCAUGGGUAGCGAAGAGGAUUAGAU
rnacentral:rRNA from 1 species